UAGAGUUUGAUCCUGGCUCAGAACGAACGCUGGCGGCAUGCCUAACACAUGCAAGUCGAACGAGACCUUCGGGUCUAGUGGCGCACGGGUGCGUAACGCGUGGGAACCUGCCUUUAGGUUCGGAAUAACUCCCCGAAAGGGGUGCUAAUACCGGAUGAUGUCUUCGGACCAAAGAUUUAUCGCCUUAAGAUGGGCCCGCGUAAGAUUAGGUAGUUGGUGGGGUAAAGGCCUACCAAGCCGACGAUCUUUAGCUGGUCUGAGAGGAUGAUCAGCCACACUGGGACUGAGACACGGCCCAGACUCCUACGGGAGGCAGCAGUGGGGAAUAUUGGACAAUGGGCGAAAGCCUGAUCCAGCAAUGCCGCGUGAGCGAUGAAGGCCUUAGGGUUGUAAAGCUCUUUUACCAGGGAUGAUAAUGACAGUACCUGGAGAAUAAGCUCCGGCUAACUCCGUGCCAGCAGCCGCGGUAAUACGGAGGGAGCUAGCGUUGUUCGGAAUUACUGGGCGUAAAGCGCACGUAGGCGGCGACUCAAGUCAGGGGUGAAAGCCCGGGGCUCAACCCCGGAACUGCCCUUGAAACUAGGUUGCUAGAAUCUUGGAGAGGUCAGUGGAAUUCCGAGUGUAGAGGUGAAAUUCGUAGAUAUUCGGAAGAACACCAGUGGCGAAAGCGACUGACUGGACAAGUAUUGACGCUGAGUGCGAAAGCGUGGGGAGCAAACAGGAUUAGAUACCCUGAUAGUCCACGCGUAAACGAUGAUAACUAGCUGUCCGGGCACUUGGUGCUUGGGUGGCGCAGCUAACGCAUUAAGUUAUCCGCCUGGGGAGUACCGUCGCAAGAUUAAACUCCAAAAGAAUUGACGGGGGCCUGCCC
rnacentral:rRNA from 1 species